AGUCGACGGUAUCUUUGGAUCAGUGGCGAACGGGUGAGUAACACGUAGGGAACCUGGCCAUACCUGGGGGAUAAUUUCUGGAAACGGAAACUAAUACCGCAUGGGUUUUGCUUAAGCCUUUAAGCGAAAUGAAAGAAGCGCACGACGCUUCGGGGAUGGAUGGUCCUGCGCUGCAUUAGCUGGCUGGUGAGGCAACGGCUCACCAGGGCGAUGAUGCAUAGCCGGCCUGAGAGGGCGGACGGCCACACUGGGACUGAGACACGGCCCAGACUCCUGCGGGAGGCAGCAGUAGGGAAUUUUCGUCAAUGGGGGCAACCCUGAACGAGCAAUGCCGCGUGAGCGAAGAAGGUCUUCGGAUUGUAAAGCUCUGUUGCCGGGGAAAAAGGAAGGAAAGAGGAAAUGCUUUUCUUUGGAUGGUACCCGGCCAGAAAGUCACGGCUAACUACGUGCCAGCAGCCGCGGUAAUACGUAGGUGGCAAGCGUUAUCCGGAAUGAUUGGGCGUAAAGGGUGAGCAGGCGGUUCUUCAAGUCAUGAGUGAAAGGCAGAAGCUUAACUUCUGUUGGCUGAUGAGACUGGAGAACUUGAGUACAGGAGAGGGCGGCGGAACUCCAUGUGUAGCGGUAAAAUGCGUAGAGAUAUGGAAGAACACCAGUGGCGAAGGCGGCCGCCUGGACUGAAACUGACGCUCAGGCACGAAAGCGUGGGGAGCAAAUAGGAUUAGAUACCCUAGUAGUCCACGCCGUAAACGAUGAGGAGCAGGUGUCGCAAUGAAAUGCGGUGCCGAAGCCAACGCAAUGACUCCUCCGC
rnacentral:rRNA from 1 species